AUAGGCCCUGCUCUGUAUUCUGAAGAGAGACCCUCUGGAGAUCGUUCAGUUUCUCUCCCUGUGCUGCUCUCUCUUUUCUGGUACUCUGCCCUGGAAUUUCAGGCCAAGACCUACCCAGGCUCUUGUCUGUAAUUCCUCAACUCAGGUGGACCCAGGUCUUGGGUCUUGGACAAGUCACAACUGUGUUACCUUCAAUGAAAACAGCAGACAAAUCUUAUUUGUAAUAUUUUUUGUGAUUCUCAGAAUUUGCCAAGGAUCAAUGGAAGCAUUUGCCUCUUGUCACAUUCAGGCCACUGAACAGGUGGCCUGAACAGCUUGGGCUACUGAAGUGGCAUUGAACUCAGAGCCAAGAUAUCUGAACAUUGCCGAAGAAAAAUACUGCAAAGAAAAUGAGAUAAAAGUGUAGGUGAUCGAGAGCAGGACUGAGAAGUGUAGGAAAGAUAUUAAAAGAAAGAUUGUGGGCAGGGCACAGUGGCUCAUGCCUGUAAUCUCAGCACCUGGGGAGGCCGAAGCAGGCAGAUCACUUGAGGUCAGGAGUUCAAGACCACCCCGGCCAACAUGGUGAAACCCCAUCACUACUAAAAAUACAAAAAUUAGCUGGGCGUCGUGGUGGACACCUGUAAUCCCAGCUACUCAGGAGGCUGAGGCAGGAGAAUCACUUGAACCUGGGAGGUGGAGGCUGCAGUGAGCCGAGAUCAUGCCACUGCACUCCAGCCUGGGUGACAAAGCAAGACUCUGCCUCAAAAAAAAAAAAAAAGAAAUAUAGUGGUUGUUGGUGGUGUCUUUAAACUUGCUUUGUUUUCCCCUGAGAAUCUGAAUUCCUUAAAAUAGCUAAAAGAAUGUCUCCAGUCUAACAAGGGAAUUAUUGAAAACAUUAUUCACAUACCAUAUUUCUAAGAAAUUAAUUUUCAUGCAAAUCUAUUUGAUCUGCUGAAGUUUUCAGUUCCUUGACAUAGACCUAAUUUUUUUCUGACACAGCAAAAUAGCAUCUUCAUUUGGUCUCUGUACAUGAUAGACUUCCUAACUUAGCUAAACAAAUGCGUGUUCUCUAGAACUAGCCUCCAAUGAACAUAAUCAAAAUUGCAUAAAGAAUAGAUUUUCAAUGUUUUCACCACAAAAAAGAUAAGUUGCUGAGGUGAUGGAUAUAAAUUACUUAGUUUGACUAAAUCUCUCUACAAUACAUAAAUAGAUCAAAACAUCACAUUGUAUUCUAUAAAUAUAUGCAAUUAUUAUUGGUCAAUUAAAAAUAAAUUUGUAAAAAAUCUUGAAUAGAAUGUAAGCAGAGAAAAGAAAGAAAUCCUUUCCUGAAUCAAAAAUGUCAGUUUCCAAAUGUGUGAAUCAUUAAUACUGAAUAAGAAGCACAGUACUAUCUCAUUUCAGCCAUUUCUUCUUUCUCUAUCUCACUUCUUUACUUAAAAAAUUAAAAUGGGCUUCCUAACCUUUCCCAUUAUACCCCUCAAUAUUAACAGUAAUUUUAGCUUAUUUGAUAUUUUUCUUAAAAAUACAACUAUUUGAACAGUAUUGCGUUAUUUAAGACAAGUAAAAUUCCAAAUAUUUUCAAGACAAAAUAACAAGCUGUAUUGCAGCAGGUUUUCAAGUAGAAUAAUAAAGUUUACGUGCAAGAAAAAUAAAACUUUUGGCUUGGUUUGUAAAUAUGUGUCAAACUAAUGUAUUCUUGCCCACAAUAUUUCCUAUAAUAUCCCAUUCUGUUGGGCUUAACUCAAAGUUAUUCAUCUGUUUUUAAAACUUAGAUUCUCCCACGCAUUGGAAAUUGUUAGAGAUGUAUUAUGGGGAGCUUUGGGCAGAGGUCCCAGGAAUACCCACACUCAUCCUAGCCCAGCUACUCUUCCGAUGAGAUCCUAUGGUAAGUAGGUAAGCAGGGAGGAAUGGAGCCAGCAAAAUAUCUUUCCUAGUGGACCCUGGGGCGUAAACCUCAAAGAAGAGUAUUAAUGAGAGAGGCAAUAGACAAUCAUCAGUUGCCUUUGUCUGACAGCUACCUAUGGCCUCAAAAUAAGGAAAUUGGAGAGGCCUAUUCUUGCCUUCCUACCAAGCCCACACUUGCAACUUGCCUGUAGACACAGUGGGAGGACGAAACCUCAGUGCAGAGCAUGCCAGCCUCCGCAAGGAGGAAGAGAGUAGUGGGAGCAAUGAGAGAGGCUGCCUCCAGUGUCCGGAGAUGCCCACCCAGAGCUAUUCAAAUCUACCCAGUCCAGGUUGGUCUAACCCAGAAGAUCUGAAAGCCCCAUAAAACACUGAAGAAGGGAGCUGAGGAAGAAGCAAGAUUUCUCCUUCCUCUAUCCUAGGAGCAAAAAUAUAGCCACAGGAAACGAAGAGUGGAAGAAACAGAUUGGCCUUCUCCCAACUCUGGUGGAAGAGACACAGAAAGAAGUGUGACUACAGUGGGCGUUAGUCCCAAUACUGUGUCUUCACCAUAGACACCACCUUAAAAAAAUGUGGCCCAAUUAAUAUCCUAGAC
rnacentral:lncRNA from 10 species